rnacentral:tRNA from 1 species
AAAAGAUUUAAGUUAAAUAAACUAAUAGCCUUCAAAGCUUUAAAUGGUUAAAACCAAUCUUUA